ensembl:lncRNA
GCAGCUGAGUCCUCAACACAUCCAGAGCUGGUACAGCCUUCAGAGUUGUCCCUAGUUGAGGGAAGAAGAACCAGCUAUUUACGUCCCUCCAUCCGCAGUCUUAGUGGGGGACCAUCUUAUGAAGGGGUAAUCUUAGACAUGACAUCUUCUAUGGCUUAGAGCAGGGGUCUUGUGGGCCUCACUGUCUCUGUCACAACUACUUCAAUCUGCUGAUGUAGAGCAAAAGCAGCCAUAGACAAUAUGUAAACAAAGGGCAUAGCUGCGUUCCAAUGAAACUUUAUGCGCUAAAACAGGUAGCCAACUCGUGGGCCAUAGUCUGCUAACCCAAGGCCUAGAGUUAUUCUCACUGAGAGGCACAGCUCUGAGACAUCAGCAGUUGAUAUUCCCGGAAGCUGGGGGAUGAGUUCUUAACCCUCAAUUGCAGGUUUGGGCAGAGCACCAUAGGUGCGCUGCAGUUCCCGCCUCGCACGUUUCGGAUCUACAUGCUUCUUAUGGUAGAGUGAUUUAUCCGACUAGGAAUAGGAGAGGAAAAGGACACCGUAGACCACCCCCUUGCUCUCUCCAUUCUCUUGUGAAUAAGCUGCCUGAAGGGAACAUAUGUCCUUUUCAGUGCUGUAUGUGAGAAUUCAGCACUCUCUCUGCCUGCGUAGGAGAUUAUUGCUGAGAAAGCUGAAAUUUUCAACAGAAAUUCCGGGAAGCCAGAAGUCUCUGGUGGAUCUUUCCUCCUUUCCUUCUCAAUGGAGACAUUUAUACAUUGACAUUGGCACCGGCAAGCUGUCAUGGAAAAGAGCACAAUCUGGAAUCAAACAUCGAUGCUGAGUUCCCCAGGCAAUCAGGCACAUUGAAUCCAAAGUCCCUCCGAGGACACAGGAUACCUGGAGUUUUUUUCCUUUGGUACAACAUGGAAGGAAGAGGCAGCCACAAUAAAAAGCAAUUACUCUUGCAGAAAUGGGCGGCGGCAAGCUUGCAAGCAGUGAAACCAGCCUGCAGUCUAAGAGGGAUAAUGGAGUAAGGCACAAUGGGGAAAGACAUGAGGAGACAAAUCCAAGAGGAAGAAAAAGGCAAAAUGUGAAGGAUUUGGGGACUAAUUAAAUAUCCAGUGAGAGUUGUAUUUAAUUUUUCCCUUUCCCCCAGGAAGAAAAACAGGAAAAGCCGCCAAUGGGCAACUCUCAGAAGAGGAAAUGCAAAUGAAUAUUAAUUAAAUUUAUUUAUUAUAUUUAACUUUACUUUGAAAAAUAACACAGGGAAAUUAAAACAAGGCACCAGUUUUGUCAGCUAUGAGAGUUUGGCAAGUACUAGAUUCUGGUCAAACCUCAACUUGCACAUGAGGGUAUAAAGGUAGGAAAUGGAAAAUAUCUGUGCUGAUAAGUAAACAUGACCCCUUAAGUUACGUAUAAAAGAUAGAUAACGCUGGCUACACCUACCACUGAACAAGCGUUUAGUACGUGCUAAAUUUGAGAUUAACUGCAACACUCAGGCUCUAGAGCCUGCCUCAUCUAGAGACAAGUUGGACUGAAACUAUGAUGCUAUUGAAGAGAAAUAACUUCUGAAUCAUUUGAGGCCUCUAGGGGAAAUUUCAAACUUAUCCUCGAAUGGACUUCAGAAGGACAAUUUGGGACAUGAGUACCUGAAGUAUUACCCCUGGGG